rnacentral:misc_RNA from 1 species
CAACCCUCAAGCUCAGCUUGGUGUUGGGCCCCGCCGCCCCGGCGGGCCCUAAAGUCAGUGGCGGUGCCGUCCGGCUCCGAGCGUAGUAAUUCUUCUCGCUCUGGAGGUCCGGUCGUGUGCUUGCCAUCAACCCCUAAUUUUCUAU